rnacentral:rRNA from 1 species
GACAGAGGUGCCGAGCGUUAAUCGGAAUUACUGGGCGUAAAGCGUGCGCAGGCGGUCUUGCAAGACAGAUGUGAAAUCCCCGGGCUUAACCUGGGAACUGCAUUUGUGACUGCAAGGCUGGAGUGCGGCAGAGGGGGAUGGAAUUCCGCGUGUAGCAGUGAAAUGCGUAGAUAUGCGGAGGAACACCGAUGGCGAAGGCAAUCCCCUGGGCCUGCACUGACGCUCAUGCACGAAAGCGUGGGGAGCAAACAGG